rnacentral:rRNA from 1 species
GUAGUUAGCCGGGGCUUCCUCCUUAGCUACCAUCUUCUGCUUUUCACUAAGGACAGAAGUUUACGAUCCGAAGACCUUCUUCCUUCACGCGGCGUUGCUGGGUCAGGGUUUCCCCCAUUGCCCAAUAUUCCCCACUGCUGCCUCCCGUAGGAGUCUGGGCCGUGUCUCAGUCCCAGUGUGGCCGAUCAGCCUCUCAGCUCGGCUACCCAUCGCAGGCUUGGUGGGCCGUUACCUCACCAACUACCUAAUGGGACGCGAACCCCUCUUAAAGCGGAUUGCUCCUUUGACCUCAUCCCGAUGCCGGGUCGUGGUCUUAUGCGGUAUUAGCACUUGUUUCCAGGUGUUAUCCCCCUCUUUAAGGCAGGUUGUUCACGCGUUACUCACCCGUUCGCCACUCAGUACAAAACCGAAAUUCUGUACUCCGUUCGACUUGCAUGUGUUAGGCACGCCGCCAGCGUUCGUCCUGAGCCAGAAUCAAACUACUGA